GGGGAUGACAUGGCUUCGACGGCGGUGAUGAAACUCUGAGGUGCAUGUCGAGAGUGAGGUACCUCUCGUAAAUACAAAUCUCAAAAUAUAGUCGCAAACGACGAAACCUACGCACUCGCAGCUUAAUAGUUAGCGAAACAAUGAACCCAUGUGUCGGUGGCUGGGGGAUUUGGGCGUAACGCUACACUGACUACGCUUUGUGUCUUGUCUCGCGGCACAAAUCUAAAACUUAGAGAAUCGUUGGCUACACCCUGUUUGUCGGGUCGGAGUCGAUUAAAACAAUAGACAUAACUAAACAUGUAGAGCCAAGAGCGUAGUGCUGACGGACGCGGGUUCAAUUCCCGCCAUCUCCACCA
rnacentral:tmRNA from 1 species